AUUGAACGCUGGCGGCAUGCCUUACACAUGCAAGUCGAACGGCAGCACGGGUGCUUGCACCUGGUGGCGAGUGGCGAACGGGUGAGUAAUAUAUCGGAACGUACCUUAUUGUGGGGGAUAACGCAGCGAAAGCUGUGCUAAUACCGCAUAAUCCCUAAGGGGGAAAGCGGGGGACCGUAAGGCCUCGCGCAAUUAGAGCGGCCGAUACCUGAUUAGCUAGUUGGUGAGGUGAAGGCUCACCAAGGCAACGAUCAGUAGCUGGUCUGAGAGGACGAUCAGCCACACUGGGACUGAGACACGGCCCAGACUCCUACGGGAGGCAGCAGUGGGGAAUUUUGGACAAUGGGGGCAACCCUGAUCCAGCAAUGCCGCGUGAGUGAAGAAGGCCUUCGGGUUGUAAAGCUCUUUUGUCAGGGAAGAAACAGCAGCUCUAACACAGUUUGCGAAUGACGGUACCUGAAGAAUAAGCCCCGGCUAACUUCGUGCCAGCCGCCGCAGUAA
rnacentral:rRNA from 1 species